CUACGAAUCGCCCUUAGAGUUGAUCUGGCUCAGGAUGAAUGCUGGCGGCGUGCCUUAGGUAUGCAAGUCGUGCGAGCCCGCAAGGGCUAGCGGCGGACGGGUGAGUAAUGCAUUGGAACAUGCCUUGAUGUGGGGGAUACCCAGCCGAAAGGUUGGCUAAUACCGCAUGUGACCUCCGGGUCAAAGACGCAAGUCGCAUCUAGAUUGGCCAAUGUCCCAUCAGGUAGUUGGUAGGGUAAUGGCCUACCAAGCCGACGACGGGUAGCUGGUCUGAGAGGAUGGUCAGCCACAAGGGAACUGAGACACGGUCCCUACUCCUACGGGAGGCAGCAAUCGGGAAUCUUGCGCAAUGGGCGAAAGCCUGACGCAGCGACGCCGCGUGAAGGAUGAAGGCCUUCGGGUUGUAAACUUCUUUUAUUGGGGAAUACUUAGAAGGUACCCUUUGAAUAAGCCACUGCUAACUACGUGCCAGCAGCCGCGGUGAUACGUAGGUGGCAAGCAUUAUCCGGAAUUACUGGGCGUAAAGAGUAGCGCAGGUGGAAUAUCGCGUCACUCCUUAAAGCCUUGGGCUUAACCCAAGACUAGGGAAUGAUACGGAUAUUCUUAGAGAAAUCUAGGGGCAAGCGGAACUUUCGGUGGAGCAGUGAAAUGCGUUGAUAUCGAAAGGAACACCAAAGGCGAAGGCAGCUUGCUGGGGAUUUUCUGACACUGAGGCACGAAAGCAUGGGGAGCGAACCGGAUUAGAUACCCGGGUAGUCCAUGCCGUAAACGAUGGAUGCUAGAUAUUGGAGGUAUUGACCCCUUCAGUGUCCCAAGCUAACGCAUUAAGCAUCCCGCCUGGGGAGUACGGCCGCAAGGCUAAAACUCAAAGGAAUUGACGGGGACCUGCACAAGCAGUGGAGCGUGUGGUUUAAUUCGUUACAAAGCGAAGAACCUCACCUAGGUUUGACAUGUGACUGGAAGCCCCUGGAAACAGGGGCCCCCUUCGAGGCUGUCACACAGAUGCUGCAUGGCUGUCGUCAGCUCGUGUCGUGAGAUGUUGGGUUAAGUCCCGUAACGAGCGCAACCCCUACGUUCAGUUGUAUCACUCUGGACGAACUGCCUCCAUACAAGGAGGAGGAAGGCGGGGAUGACGUCAAGUCAGCACAGCUCUUACACCUAGGGCUACACACACCCUACAAUGGGGUAGACAACAGGAUGCGAAGGAGUAAUCCGGAGCCAAUCCCUUAAACUAUCCCUCAGUUCAGAUUGGGGGCUGCAACUCGCCCCCAUGAA
rnacentral:rRNA from 1 species